GACGAACGCUGGCGGCGUGCUUAACACAUGCAAGUCGAGCGGUAAGGCCCUUUCGGGGGUACACGAGCGGCGAACGGGUGAGUAACACGUGGGUGACCUGCCCUCAGCUCUGGGAUAAGCCUGGGAAACCGGGUCUAAUACCGGAUAUGACUCCAUGACGCAUGUUGUGGGGUGGAAAGCCUUGUGCGGCUGAGGAUGGGCCCGCGGCCUAUCAGCUUGUUGGUGGGGUGANGGCCUACCAAGGCGACGACGGGUAGCUGGCCUGAGAGGGCGACCGGCCACACUGGGACUGAGACACGGCCCAGACUCCUACGGGAGGCAGCAGUGGGGAAUCUUGCGCAAUGGGCGAAAGCCUGACGCAGCGACGCCGCGUGAGGGAUGACGGCCU
rnacentral:rRNA from 1 species